rnacentral:rRNA from 1 species
CCUACGGGUGGCAGCAGUGGGGAAUAUUGCACAAUGGGCGCAAGCCUGAUGCAGCCAUGCCGCGCGUAUGAAGAAGGCCUUCGGGUUGUAAAGUACUUUCAGCGAGGAGGAAGGCGUUAAGGUUAAUAACCUUAGCGAUUGACGUUACUCGCAGAAGAAGCACCGGCUAACUCCGUGCCAGCAGCCGCGGUAAUACGGAGGGUGCAAGCGUUAAUCGGAAUUACUGGGCGUAAAGCGCACGCAGGCGGUCUGUUAAGUCAGAUGUGAAAUCCCCGGGCUCAACCUGGGAACUGCAUUUGAAACUGGCAGGCUAGAGUCUUGUAGAGGGGGGUAGAAUUCCAGGUGUAGCGGUGAAAUGCGUAGAGAUCUGGAGGAAUACCGGUGGCGAAGGCGGCCCCCUGGACAAGGACUGACGCUCAGGUGCGAAAGCGUGGGGAGCAAACAGGAUUAGAUACCCCGGUAGUC